AAGUCGUAACAAGGUUUCCGUAGGUGAACCUGCGGAAGGAUCAUUACAGAGAACUUGCCCUUCGGGGUAGAUCUCCCACCCUUUGUUUACAUUACCUUUGUUGCUUUGGCGGGCCCGUCUUACGACCACCGGCUUCGGCUGGUCAGUGCCCGCCAGAGGACCCCAAACUCUUUUGUUAAUGUCGUCUGAGUACUAUACAAAUAGUUAAAACUUUCAACAACGGAUCUCUUGGUUCUG
rnacentral:misc_RNA from 1 species